rnacentral:rRNA from 1 species
UCCGUAGGCGGGCUAAUAAGUCAGGGGUGAAAUCCCACAGCUUAACUGUGGAACUGCCUUUGAUACUGUUAGUCUUGAAUUAUAUGGAAGUAGAUAGAAUGUGUAGUGUAGCGGUGAAAUGCUUAGAGAUUACACAGAAUACCGAUUGCGAAGGCAGUCUACUACGUAUAUAUUGACGCUAAUGGACGAAAGCGUGGGGAGCGAACAGGAUUAGAUACCCUGGUAGUC